rnacentral:rRNA from 1 species
CGCUGAACUUAAGCAUAUCAAUAAGCGGAGGAAAAGAAACCAACAGGGAUUGCCCUAGUAACGGCGAGUGAAGCGGCAACAGCUCAAAUUUGAAAUCUGGCUCUUUUAGAGUCCGAGUUGUAAUUUGCAGAGGGCGCUUUGGCUUUGGCAGCGGUCCAAGUUCCUUGGAACAGGACGUCACAGAGGGUGAGAAUCCCGUACGUGGUCGCUGGCUAUUGCCGUGUAAAGCCCCUUCGACGAGUCGAGUUGUUUGGGAAUGCAGCUCUAAAUGGGAGGUACAUUUCUUCUAAAGCUAAAUAUUGGCCAGAGACCGAUAGCGCACAAGUAGAGUGAUCGAAAGAUGAAAAGCACUUUGGAAAGAGAGUCAAACAGCACGUGAAAUUGUUGAAAGGGAAGCGCUUGCAGCCAGACUUGCUUACAGUUGCUCAUCCGGGUUUCUACCCGGUGCACUCUUCUGUAGGCAGGCCAGCAUCAGUUUGGGCGGUAGGAUAAAGGUCUCUGUCACGUACCUCCUUUCGGGGAGGCCUUAUAGGGGAGACGACAUACUACCAGCCUGGACUGAGGUCCGCGCAUCUGCUAGGAUGCUGGCGUAAUGGCUGUAAGCGGCCCGUCUUGAAACACGGACCAAGGAGUCUAACAUCUAUGCGAGUGUUUGGGUGUCAAGCCCGAGCGCGUAAUGAAAGUGAACGGAGGUGGGAACCCGCAAGGGUGCACCAUCGACCGAUCCUGAUGUCUUCGGAAGGAUUUGAGUAAGAGCAUGGCUGUUGGGACCCGAAAGAUGGUGAACUAUGCUUGAAUAGGGUGAAGCCAGAGGAAACUCUGGUGGAGGCUCGCAGCGGUUCUGACGUGCAAAUCGAUCGUCAAAUUUGGGCAUAGGGGCGAAAGACUAAUCGAACUAUCUAGUAGCUGG